rnacentral:lncRNA from 1 species
GUCAUCAUCACUCAUGGCUUGACUCUCAAUAGCAAUUGUACAUCAGUGGCACUUCGGAGCAGUGGGUUUUCCCAUUGCUAUGGCCAUCAACCACGGACGGUUCUAAACACCAAACAGUUAUACUCUUUCAUAAGAAGUUGCAACGUUUCAUUGUGUUUGUUACCCACAUAUAUUAAUAUGAUCUUUGAUCUCAUUUCUGGUAACAAAAUGUGAAAGCCAAAUAGAAGCCAG